GAAGAGCCGGUUGUCACCCGCAGAGUAGCCAGGGCCAAAACGGGAAGGGGUGGGGGGCAAAGGACCUGCGACGGCGGGGAAGGGUCCCUGCUUGAGGGGACGGCGAGGUGAGGGAGCUGGAGGGAAGCCUUGGCCAAGGUGGGGGAAGAAGCUGAAGGGUCGCGCGGAAGGCCAAGGCGCCAGGAGGCAAAAGCAGGCCAGAGGGCAGACAGCGGCCGGAGAAGCCCUGCGAGCCCUGCCCGUCCCCGCGCGGGAGCUGGCGCUCGCUCUCUCCACCUCGGGACGAAGACCACCCCCCAUUAGCCGAGAGCCCGACGCCGGGCUGGCUCGGCGCACCCCGGGACGCAAUCACAGCGCCCACAGCAGCUGGGGAGGAAGGACCUGCGGCUCCUUCUCUGUCGUACACUUCGCUGUAUCGUCGUCGUGCCGGCUGCUAGUUUGAGACCGGAACGCCCUCCAGGACUAGAGCAGUUAACUGAUUUGCCUUGAAUACGAAAUAAAAUUCAUCUGCCCCGCAGGCCUCAUAAAGUCCUUCCUGAAUCGGGCCAAACAAGCUUUUUGCUAAAUUUCCUGUCCUAUCCCCACGCUCUCCACUCCCGCCACUUGAAUUUGUUCUUGGGGUGUCACUUGACCAAGGCCUCCAGCUCAAUUCAGGACCACAGACUCUUGCGUCACCAGCAACUCCACCCCCAGCCCCCACCACGAGCCACUCACGGCUGGGUAGGUCAUGUUGACAUUUUAGAGAAGUGCUAGAGGUGUAGUUCCCGUGAGUUUUCUGUUUCAAACCGCCUACUCUUGGGAACCGGAUUUUAUCCGGAAUAUUACUAGCGUGGCGCCGGGUUUUCGGCCCCGUGUAUUCUUGAUAUGAAAUGAUGAAGCCCCCACAUCCUUGUAACCCCUGGAACCCAUCAGUACCCUCCUGGGGCUGUUUAUCAGGGGAAACUAGAGAUCAGGCUUUCCCACUGGGAGCCUAGACUCUGGCGAGUAGGGAGAGGAGUCGAAGGCCCGCAACGCGCGUUUCCCGGUAAGGCAGGGUGCGGCUGGAGGCCGGUGGCGGACGGUGCAGGUGGCAGCGGCAUCCGGGAGAGCGGGUGGAGGCCUGGCUCGCACUCCGCCCCCGAGAGGGCGCUGGUAACACCCGGGUCCUCUCCUGGGCUUCAAGGACGCCUCGCAGCCCCGCCCUAGCCGCGGAGUCUCUGAGCCAACCUUCUCGUCCCUUGGAGUCGCGGGGGCUGGGACUGGGCGGGGGAUCUGGAAAAACCACCCAGAUUGCUUUGCAGUGGGCGAGGCCGCCUGGAGGAGCCGGUUCCCCCGAGAGCCGCUUCGCCUCGGGGUUCUCCACACUCAAUUUCUCUGUUGCUCGCCUCUGUCGAGAUUGGCAACACCUGGAGGGAGCACGGGCCUCGGCAGGAACGAACGCUCAGCAACCAGGCUGGGAGGCCCGACGUCAGGCCAGCGAAUGGCGUAGAGAAAGUGAUUACAACCGCACCUGAAGCGGCUCCAACAGCGCUUUGGAGUUUGGAUUCAUCGUUACACAAACGAGUUUCGACGGAAAGUCAGCGCUCUUACUGGGAGAUGCCUCAAUUCUCAAGGCUUCUAAAAGCCCGGCGUGAACUCUGCACUCAACAAAUAUGUAUUGAAUAAAAGAACGGAAGAAAAGGACAUGCCGGCUGCAGGGUGUGGGUGGAGGGUUUUUGUAGAUUCGAGAGCGAGCUGGGCAGGAGGCAUCUGAAAGGGUCCAGAGUGAAUUGAGUCUGAGCCAUACCAUGUGAGAAGUAAAAGAAGAACCUGCAGCAUCCGCCAGGAUACCAAAGCAGCAAAGGAGGGGCGGGUGCAGCCGAAAUGACUGGGUUAUAUGGGGAAGGGCAGACGGGCCACUGUCUGGGCUGGAGUUCAGGGUAGGGGACCUGUAAUAGAGACAGACUGAAGGAUGCUGGGAGAACGUGCCCGUAUCAGUUUUGAUAUGUUAAUAUGCGCCUCGGUUAGCCCUUCCACGGGCAUUUGAGGUCUGAUAUACCAGCCUUUUGGGGCGUUGUCAGGGACUCAAGAAAGCUGGAAUUCCGAAUCCAUCCCCCCACCCCUCCCGCCUGGGUUCUGCAGGUCCACCUGGGGAAGUACAGGCCACUUUGGAGCAGUGUGACUUGAAACCUGCAGGGACAGAUAGACUAGGGAGAGAAUGCAAAGUUAGAGGAGUUUAGAGGAAAUUUUUAUCUUGACUGUACACUUGUAACCUUCCGGCCCAUGGUCCUGGUAGUUAGGAGAGGGCAGUACUAAGACCCGGGGGAAGGGGAGAGACCUGCACCUUCAGGAAUAGACCGUGGGAAAAUGUAGCCUGUUAAUUGACAGGAGUAUUUAUCUGGAGUUCGUUUGACCUGUGAGAGAUGGAUGACUCUGAAGCUUAUAUGAAUUUGUUUUCAGACAGGUUUUCUCUGUAACUGCCCUGGCUAUCCAGGAAUUCACUUUGUAGACCAGUCUGACCUCGAACUCACGGACGAGUGGUUGGUUACCGAGUCGUCAGUUUUGAUAUAUAAUAGGCACCUCAGCCAUUCGUGCCAGGUUUGAGACCUGAUGUAAUUGUAGUAACAUGCUCCCAGAUUUUCAGCUUUCUUUUAUGAGCUAGUUGUUAAUUCAUCACCAUAAAGAUGAGAUUCUCAGUUGACAGUCCGCAGAAAUAAUCCCAUCCCACCACCACCAAUCAGGGUUUCUCUGUGUAGCCCUGGCUAUCCUGAAACUCGAUUUACACCCCAGGUAGCCUCAAAUUCAGAUUUUUCUGCCUCCCAAAGGCUGAGUUAAAGGAGUGUGCGCGCCCGCGCGAGCACCGCUUCCUGGCUGUGACUGAAACUUUCAACCACACAGGAAUGGCUUUUGAAAUAGUUGAAUGAAGAACUUGAGUAUUUCACAACAGAAAAUCCCAUUCUAAGCAAGGCUAGUCUGCAUAAAAUUUAAAUCUCAAGUGUUCUAUAAAGAAUCAGCAAGCCAGCUCUUUUUUUCUUUUUUAAGACUUUGGGCAUGGCAGUACAUGGCUAUAGUCUAGGCAUUUGGGAGGAGGAGACUCAAAAUCAAGGAGUCCUGGCUACAUGAGAGAGACCCUGUCUCAGAAAAUUUGAUAACAACAUAAUGAACAGGCAAUUUUCAGUAAAAAAAAAUUGUAGAUUAGAUAGUAUUGUAUCACUUUUAGUUUCACAAAUUUAGUAUCACUGCUUAGGUAGGAGCAUAUCCUGGCUUUAAGGAAAUAUUAAUUAAAAUUUUAGGGAUGAAGGAAAAUGUUUGAAAAUUGCUCUCCAGAGAUUCAGACAAAAUCCUUGUAGAUGUUAAUAGAUGUAAUGAGGGGUGGGUAUGGACCCCAGGGUCGAGCUUCCUCACACACGCUGGGUGACACUCCGCAGCAUCAGUGAUAGGUGAGAAGAUCCUUUGUACUAUUCUCUAUAACUCUUAUGGCCACGAUUGCUUCAGACUUCCCAGGCUUUUGUUUUAGCCUCUCUGGCGCCCUGCUGCUGCCAUGCAGGUAUUUAGCAAGGCUGGGUACCACAUCUUUCUUCUAUGGUGAAGUGACACUUCAUUAGCAUAGGACUUGUGUGUUUUUGUUGCUUUUCCUUGCUGAAUAAAGGUAAA